GGCGGUCAUUAUAACUUGUCAUUCAACUUAACCAGAUCUGUCUACUGAUCUCUUGAUUUUUUUUUUUAUCCUUAAUUGGAUUGAAACAGAAAUAGAAACAGUUACAGCAACCAGCUUAUACGUGACAGAUAUACAUCAAGAAGUGGUAUCUGGAGAGAUUUCUAGUGUAGUUAAAUUUCCAAAGUUUGCAAGCACUUCGAUUCUGUGAACAGAUAAG
rnacentral:lncRNA from 1 species